GUUUUAAUAGUUUAAACAAAAUAUAGAUCUUGUAAAUCUAAGAUAAAAUGUCUUUUUAAAACU
rnacentral:tRNA from 1 species